rnacentral:rRNA from 1 species
UACAGAGGGUGCGAGCGUUAAUCGGAAUUACUGGGCGUAAAGUGUGCGCAGGUGGCCGCGCAAGUCGAGUGUGAAAUCCCCGAGCUUAACUUGGGAAUUGCGCUCGAAACUACGUGGCUCGAGUGUGGCAGAGGAAGGUGGAAUUCCACGUGUAGCGGUGAAAUGCGUAGAUAUCGGAAGGAACAUCAGUGGCGAAAGCGACUUCCUGGACCAGUACCGACGUUCAGGCACGAAAGCGUGGGGAGCAGACAGG